rnacentral:rRNA from 1 species
UACGGAGGGGGCUAGCGUUGUUCGGAAUUACUGGGCGUAAAGCGUGCGUAGGCGGCUUUGUAAGUUAGAGGUGAAAGCCUGGUGCUCAACACCAGAACUGCCUUUAAGACUGCAUCGCUUGAAUCCAGGAGAGGUGAGUGGAAUUCCGAGUGUAGAGGUGAAAUUCGUAGAUAUUCGGAAGAACACCAGUGGCGAAGGCAGCUCACUGGACUGAUAUUGACGCUGAGGUGCGAAAGCGUGGGGAGCAAACAGG